UAUUGUCUAUCAGUAAAGCUCAGCGCUUAAUACCAUUCAUGCAUCUUUUGUUUUUCAAAAUCUACUCGCAACUAAACCUAGAAAAAGGAAGCCUUAAGUUAUUUAGCAAACAUAUAGAAGAGAGAGUCUCAAUAUCAAACCAACAGCUGAAUGAUUUUGAGAAACAUAGAUUGUUUGUUGUUUCACUGGCUGGACUUCCUUAUAAUUUUGCCAAAACCGUUAUGCCCAUAUUUUGUACCCCAAGAAUUCUGAAUUUUCCAGUAGUUGACACCUUCCAGAGUUGUGUCGAAACCAGUCAUUAAGACUACAUGGCCACAUGUGCUUGUGUUUUUUCGAUUUGUUUGACCAUGAUAGAUUUUGUCAUAUUCAAAAUUUACAAGAUAUGAAAUCAGUUGUAAUAUGUUUAAAAAUGAAUUAUACCAACUACAAAUACCACUUACAUCUUUACAUUCCUUUAAGCUUUCAUAAGUAUCUAUCACAACAAGUAGAGGGCCGUCGUUGACAAGUUAGAUAAACUCUUCUUCUCUCACUUGUUUGUCUCUCUUAUAUACCAAAUCCUUGAUUUUGAAUGCAGGUAUAUCCUAUAAGAAUUCGUUUAUAAGUAUGAUUAGUUAAAAAUAAAUGAAAUUUGUAAGAAGACAAGAUUUAAAAAUGACACUUACAUAGUUUUCGGAACUUUUGAGACAGAUUUGUUUGAGUUUUCAUGAGUAUGGACAAGUUUUUCUAGAACAAGAACUUGUUUUGUCAAAAACUUUUUGAUACUUGCCAUAGUUACAGAUUUUUCAUACAUGUUCCUAAUAUUGUUUAUCAAAUGUUGCGGUGAUAGUUCAACAACUAGACCUAUAAGAGCAAGUCAUGCUUCGAUGUGGCACCAACCUAGAGUUUAUAAACCCCUAAGCAAAAUGAAAAAAUGUAAUUUAUAGGAAUGAAAUAAAUUU
rnacentral:sRNA from 1 species